rnacentral:rRNA from 1 species
GACGAACGCUGGCGGCGUGCUUAACACAUGCAAGUCGAACGGAAAGGCCCUGCUUUUGUGGGGUGCUCGAGUGGCGAACGGGUGAGUAACACGUGAGUAACCUGCCCUUGACUUUGGGAUAACUUCAGGAAACUGGGGCUAAUACCGGAUAGGAGCUCCUGCUGCAUGGUGGGGGUUGGAAAGUUUCGGCGGUUGGGGAUGGACUCGCGGCUUAUCAGCUUGUUGGUGGGGUAGUGGCUUACCAAGGCUUUGACGGGUAGCCGGCCUGAGAGGGUGACCGGCCACAUUGGGACUGAGAUACGGCCCAGACUCCUACGGGAGGCAGCAGUGGGGAAUAUUGCACAAUGGGCGGAAGCCUGAUGCAGCAACGCCGCGUGCGGGAUGACGGCCUUCGGGUUGUAAACCGCUUUCGCCUGUGACGAAGCGUGAGUGACGGUAAUGGGUAGAGAAGCACCGGCUAACUACGUGCCAGCAGCCGCGGUGAUACGUAGGGUGCGAGCGUUGUCCGGAUUUAUUGGGCGUAAAGGGCUCGUAGGUGGUUGAUCGCGUCGGAAGUGUAAUCUUGGGGCUUAACCCUGAGCGUGCUUUCGAUACGGGUUGACUUGAGGAAGGUAGGGGAGAAUGGAAUUCCUGGUGGAGCGGUGGAAUGCGCAGAUAUCAGGAGGAACACCAGUGGCGAAGGCGGUUCUCUGGGCCUUUCCUGACGCUGAGGAGCGAAAGCGUGGGGAGCGAACAGGCUUAGAUACCCUGGUAGUCCACGCUGUAAACGGUGGGUACUAGGUGUGGGGUCCAUUCCACGGGUUCCGUGCCGUAGCUAACGCUUUAAGUACCCCGCCUGGGGAGUACGGCCGCAAGGCUAAAACUCAAAGGAAUUGACGGGGCCCCGCACAAGCGGCGGAGCAUGCGGAUUAAUUCGAUGCAACGCGUAGAACCUUACCUGGGUUUGACAUGGAUCGGGAGUGCUCAGAGAUGGGUGUGCCUCUUUUGGGGUCGGUUCACAGGUGGUGCAUGGCUGUCGUCAGCUCGUGUCGUGAGAUGUUGGGUUAAGUCCCGCAACGAGCGCAACCCUUGUUCACUGUUGCCAGCACGUUAUGGUGGGGACUCAGUGGAGACCGCCGGGGUCAACUCGGAGGAAGGUGGGGAUGACGUCAAGUCAUCAUGCCCCUUAUGUCCAGGGCUUCACGCAUGCUACAAUGGCUGGUACAGAGAGUGGCGAGCCUGUGAGGGUGAGCGAAUCUCGGAAAGCCGGUCUCAGUUCGGAUUGGGGUCUGCAACUCGACCUCAUGAAGUCGGAGUCGCUAGUAAUCGCAGAUCAGCAACGCUGCGGUGAAUACGUCCCCGGGGCU